UACGUAGGCAGCGAGCGUUGUUCGGAGUUACUGGGCGUAAAGGGUGUGUAGGCGGUUCUUUAAGUUUGGUGUGAAAUCUCCCGGCUCAACCGGGAGGGUGCGCCGAAUACUGAGGGACUAGAGUAUGGGAUGGGAAAGUGGAAUUCCUGGUGUCGCGGUGAAAUGCGUAGAUAUCAGGAGGAACACCUGUGGUGUAGACGGCUUUCUGGACCAUAACUGACGCUGAGACACGAAAGCGUGGGUAGCAAACAGG
rnacentral:rRNA from 1 species